AUAGGAUCAGUAAACAGAUCAGUGCGGCUCAGGCGUUAUUCGCUUUCGGUUUCUUCCGGCAAACGGACGCUGAAUACGUAUUGUUUCUGUUGAUUGUUUACUCUCAGACGAUUUAAUGACACAAACUGAGAACUGUUAGCCCGGCAACAACGUUGGGAGAGGGCAGAGGGGUAUGCUCUUUGAAGUGGAUCUCCAUCCUCAGAUUUAUUUCUGGGAAAUGAGUUCUUGCCAAUCAGCGGGAAUAUUACGAGCAUUAUAAACAGCCGUCGCAGCUGAGAACCAUAAUUCAAUCGAAUAAUAGUGGAAUGUUUUCUCAGGCAUUCGGACGAUACAAGUGUUCCAUUGCGCGUUGGCUAUACAGAAUUUCCCCAAUUGCGUUCUAACUUCGCCCGUCUCUCGGCAGAAGGAUUCGAAAGAGCUACAGUUACCGUUCACAGAAGGUGUGGCACGACAUAUGUACAUAUUGUGACUAAUGUCGCAGGUGACGUGACGUCGAGGGACCUCCGGUCCCCAGAUUGGUUCGCCCAUUGAUGUAUGAAAUAUUAAUAGGACAAAAAUGUGUGUGGAUUCAAAAUUCUUUGCAAUUAUUUCGAUUCCCUCUCUCCCUCUCUCUACAGAGAGUCAAAUCAAUUAAAUUUGAUAUAAUUUGCCAACUGUUUUGGUUUUGUGGUUACAAAACAAUUUCUAUACGAAAUACUUGAGUUUUCAAAUAUGAAAGACCAUUCUAGCGCUGCUCUGCCCGGCAUAAUCCACAUAAUUCCCCUUACUUUUUUGGUUCUGGGCCAAGUUUUCCCUCUGCCAGAGACGCUCCAAAGUUCAAGGACGCCUCCAGUCGAGGAUGGCAGCAGCAACAACCGAAUAAUGGAGGAAGUAGUUCCUGGGGAAAUCAAAUCUCAGUUGCAUAGAUAGAAGCUUUGGCAUGAGUCUAAGUUUAAGUUAUUAUCACGAACGAAGGUCGUCAUCAUCGAAUAAUCAAUAUUUACUCUUGCUAUAAUUAAUGCAGGCCAGGGGCCGGGCUUUUCCGCCAGAGGAAAUUUAUUGGAAAAGCGAAAUAUGUAGCAGCCGAGCAGCAGAGCAGCGGAGGCUAUCUUAUCACUCGACACUCGGCGGCGGGCUGGGCCGGGCUGCCAUAAAUAAUCUGAACGAACAAAAUGAAUUGCCUGGAAGGCGAUUUUCGCUGCCCGGGUGCUAUUCCGAUUUAUGACAUUCGCCAACUUAUUUGCUAAUUAAUUAUCAAUUUUAUAUGACAGCCAGAGACUUGAGAUGGCGGGGGGAUAACCAAUUAGUCGAGGAAAUACAUAAUAUUGUUGAAGUUUCGACCUAAACUUCUGAAUUGUCGAGUGCUGCGCACUAGAUGGCACAUGGAGUGCCCCAAAC